rnacentral:rRNA from 1 species
CGGACUGCAGUCUGCAACUCGACUGCACGAAGCUGGAAUCGCUAGUAAUCGCGAAUCAGAAUGUCGCGGUGAAUACGUUCCCGGGUCUUGUACACACCGCCCGUCACACCAUGGGAGUCAGUAACGCCCGAAGUCAGUGACCCAACCGGAACCGGAGGGAGCUGCCGAAGGUGGGACCGAUAACUGGGGUGAAGUCGUAACAAGGUACC